rnacentral:rRNA from 1 species
AUGCGGCCGCUCGACGAGAAGGAGACCACGAUGGUCUUCGAGAAGCUCUUCAAGUUCACCGGCCCCAACCUGAAGCACCUCCUGGAGCGGCCCUCCGUGGAGGGCCCCGACCCGGAGCCCGGCCGCUACUGCCUCCGCCUCCACAAGAACCGCGUCUUCUACGCCUCCGAGUCGCUCGUCCGCCGCGCCACCGCCGUGUCCCGCACGCGCCUCGCCGGGGUCGGCACGCCCAUCGGCAAGUUCACCCACGGCGGCGCCUUCCACCUCACCGUCCACGCGCUCGACCUCCUCGCCGCCCACGCGCGCCGCCGCAUCUGGCUCAAGCCCGACACGGAGCGCUCGUUCCUCUUCGGCAACUCCGUGCCCAAGUCCGCGCUCGCGCGCAUCACCGAGAACACCAAGUCCGGCGACGGCGUCGUCGUCAUGUCCAUGGCCGACGUGCCGCUCGGGUUCGGGGUCGCCGCCAGGGGCGCGCAGGACUGCAGGAAGGCCGAUACCAACGCCGUGGUGGUGCUCCACCAGUCGGAUGCUGGCGAGUACCUCCGCAAGGAGGAGGAGCUCAUGUGA